UACCAGCACCCCGAGUGGUCGGGACGAUUAUUGGGCCUAAAGCAUCCGUAGCCGGCCUUACAAGUCCUCCGUUAAAUCCAGCUGCUUAACAGAUGGGCUGCGGAGGAUACUAUAAGACUAGGAGGCAGGAGAGGCAAGCGGUACUCAGUGGGUAGGGGUAAAAUCCGUUGAUCCAUUGAAGACCACCAGUGGCGAAGGCGGCUUGCCAGAAUGCGCUCGACGGUGAGGGAUGAAAGCUGGAGGAGCAAACCGG
rnacentral:rRNA from 1 species